GACGAACGCUGGCGGCGUGCUUAACACAUGCAAGUCGAACGGUGAAGCGCCUUCCUUUUUGGUGGGUGUGGAUGAGUGGCGAACGGGUGAGUAACACGUGAGUAACCUGCCCCCUUCUUCUGGAUAACCGCAUGAAAGUGUGGCUAACACGGGAUAUUCUGGGUCUGUCGCAUGAUGGGUCUGGGAAAGAUAUUGUUUCGGUGGGGGAUGGGCUCGCGGCCUAUCAGCUUGUUGGUGGGGUGAUGGCCUACCAAGGCGGUGACGGGUAGCCGGCCUGAGAGGGUGGACGGUCACACUGGGACUGAGACACGGCCCAGACUCCUACGGGAGGCAGCAGUGGGGAAUAUUGCACAAUGGGCGCAAGCCUGAUGCAGCGACGCCGCGUGAGGGAUGGAGGCCUUCGGGUUGUGAACCUCUUUCGCCAGUGAAGCAGGCCUGCCUCGUUUGUGGGUGGGUUGACGGUAGCUGGAGAAGAAGCGCCGGCUAACUACGUG
rnacentral:rRNA from 1 species